rnacentral:misc_RNA from 1 species
GAUGAAGAACGUAGCGAAAUGCGAUACGUAAUGUGAAUUGCAGAAUUCAGUGAAUCAUCGAAUCUUUGAACGCAUAUUGCGCUCUCUGGUAUUCCGGAGAGCAUGCUUGUUUGAGUAUCAGUAAACACCUCAACUUCCAUAUCUUUUUUGAAAUGGGAGUUGGACUUGAGUGAUCCCAACGCUCUUCCUCACCGAAAAGUGGCGGGUUACUUGAAAUGCAGGUGCAGCUGGACUUUUCUCUGAGCUAUAAGCAUAUCUAUUUAGUCUGCCUAAAAAACAGAUUAUUACCUUUGCUGCAGCUAACAUAAAGGAGAUUAGUUCUUGUGCUGACUGAUGCAGGAUUCACAAAGACAGGCUUCGGCCGACUUUGUAAACUCGAUCUCAAAUCAAGUAAGACUACCCGCUGAACUUAAGCAUAUCAAUAAGCGGAGGA